UAUGGUCUCAGAACAGCUCCCCUCCUAAAGGACACCAGCAGUAUGUUCUCAGAACAGCUCCCCUCCUAAAGGACACCAGCAGUAUGGUCUCAGAACAGCUCCCCUCCUAAAGGACACCAGCAGUAUGGUCUCAGAACAGCUCCCCUCCUAAAGGACACCAGCAGUAUGGUCUCAGAACAGCUCCCCUCCUUUGUAAAGGACACCAGCAGUCUGGUCUCAGAACAGCUACCCUCCUAAAGGACACCAGCAGUAUGAUCUCAGAACAGCUCCCCUCCUAAAGGACACCAGCAGUAUGAUCUCAGAACAGCUCCCCUCCUAAAGGACACCAGCAGUAUGGUCUCAGAACAGCUCCCCUCCUAAAGGACACCAGCAGUAUGGUCUCAGAACAGCUCCCCUCCUAAAGGACACCAGCAGUAUGAUCUCAGAACAGCUCCCCUCCUAAAGGACACCAGCAGUAUGGUCUCAGAACAGCUCCCCUCCUAAAGGACACCAGCAGUAUGAUCUCAGAACAGCUCCCCUCCUAAAGGACACCAGCAGUAUGAUCUCAGAACAGCUCCCCUC